rnacentral:rRNA from 1 species
UACGUAGGGGGCGAGCGUUGUCCGGAAUCAUUGGGCGUAAAGAGCGCGUAGGCGGCCCGACAAGUCCGCUGUGAAAGUCAGGGGCUCAACCCUUGAAUGCCGGUGGAUACUGUCGGGCUAGAGUCCGGAAGAGGCGAGUGGAAUUCCUGGUGUAGCGGUGAAAUGCGCAGAUAUCAGGAAGAACACCAAUGGCGAAGGCAGCUCUCUGGGACGGUACUGACGCUGAGACGCGAAAGCGUGGGGAGCGAACAGG